CAAUAGCGUAUAUUUAAGUUGUUGCAGUUAAAAAGCUCGUCGUUGGAUUUCGGAUGGGACUUGCCGGUCCGUCGUUUCGAUGUGCACUGGCCAGUCCUAUCUUGUUGUCGGGGACUAGCUCCUGGGCUUCACUGUCCGGGACUAGGAGCUGACGAGGUUACUUUGAGUAAAUUAGAGUGUUCAAAGCAAGCCUACGCUCUGAAUACAUUAGCAUGGAAUAACACGAUAGGACUCUGGCUUAUCUUGUUGGUCUGUGAGACCAGAGUAAUGAUUAAGAGGGACAGUCGGGGGCAUUCGUAUUUCAUUGUCAGAGGUGAAAUUCUUGGAUUUAUGAAAGACGAACUUCUGCGAAAGCAUUUGUCAAGGAUGUUUNCAUUAA
rnacentral:rRNA from 1 species